rnacentral:lncRNA from 10 species
GGGGAGCCCCAGGCCUAGAACAAUGUCUGAUGGGACACUGGAGCAUGACUGUGACCCGAGGAGGGAAGUGCAACGUGUGUGUCUCUGUCCCUUGCUGCUCCUUGACACAGUGUUCAAGAUGCUCUAUGAACCCACGAUGCGUCAGUGAUCGUGGUGCAGAUGCUGGAAGUCCUUUGAAGAAGUGAUCCACAAUGGAAUGAGUGUCUGGGACUUAGGCAGUAAGGUCCUUGGUUCUGGAAGAUUUCAAACAGCAAUUAGAAGAUGUCUAUAAGAGAUGCGGUAGAAGAUUCCUGACAUGCGUACAGUGAUCCUCAAGACUCCCUUUAAAGCUAAUAAUUCCAUAACUUUUAGUGGGGGAGUGACAGGUCCACAUUCCCUUCUCUGAUACCACUGGGACCAGAUUAUUCCAGAAUUCAGGACUUUCAUAUCUUAUAAUGUAUGCAUAUAACUUGCAUUAUGUAACACCCCUAGGGGAGUUUGGAAAGCACCCCAAAGCCCAACACACUAGUAUCUCUGGAGAAAACCAUAAGCAGGUGACAAACACAAACCAUGAAAAGCCUCAUGUUAGGUUUAGCUGGGAAACAAACUCAGGGAGGUCAGAUUGUCCCACCAAAUAUGGGAAGUCUUUUGGAAUUUGAAGCUUUUGGACUUUCAGAUAAGGGAUUAUGGAUCUGUUUGUGAACUCUUAAGUCAUUUCACAGAUUGGAAAAAAACAAAACAAAAAUCCCAAACAAUGUAUACAUGGAGGCACCUGAGAUGUCUUUAAAUUUCAUGAUGGGAAGAAAGAAACCAACACUUGUACACUGGUUUAGACCUGAUGAAAGUGCUUGGGGCUCCACUGUCUAUUAGACACUCACCGUGACCUUAUGAACGAAGACGCAUCAUCUCCAUCCUUUGGGGACAGGGAAACUGAAGCUUCCACAGAGCCGGCAUCACAUAGUACAUGCUAGUGCCUGUGUGAGAACACACAGAUUUGGGACUCCAAAUAUCAGGCUUUUUCUAUAACCUCAAAAACCUCCUAAAUGGUGCCCAGUGAAUGUAUUUCAGGCAGUGCUGCCAUUCAGAGGGAUGCCCCCAUCUAGCUGUACUGAAUGUUGGAGUUCUUCCUUUUAGGUGAUAUAUCACCAAGGCCCUAAGUCUGUGGAGGCCUCUAGCCUUAUCCUGCUGCCCCAGAGUGCCCCAGACUCUCCCAAAGUGUAGUAACUGUGCAAAGGGCAGACGCCUGGCAGAACAGGGACCCCAGGGGCUGGAGACUGUACCCUAUUGUAGCUACAUAUUUGGAACAUCACACCUACUAGAAUUGUGCUAAGAUACUGACCAGUCCUUGAGUAUGUUGCCUUCCACCAAGAAGAGAGCACUCCCCUCCCCCAGAGAUGUUCUAUGUGUGUUUAGCUGGGAAGCUCUGCACAGCUGCACGCUGGUAUAUCCAUGCUUGCCUGAGAAUCACAGCUGCCUGGAGCUCUUGGGAAACACAGACUCCUGGGCCCCAUCCUGACCUAUUACAGAAUCAGAAUCUCCUGACACAGGCGCAGGUGUUUUGUGCACAAACGUUCCAGCUGAGUGCCGCCUAGAGUUGGGCAAGUUUGGAGAUCACCGUGGCACUCCAUUUACUUUGGUAAGAAGGAUCUAAUCAACCCAUUCAAAUUUGCAGAGGCAACAGUAAACAACUCUGUCUAGCUCUUCCACAUAAGCACAUUUAGAGACAAAAUUUUCAGCUCUAAUGGUUUCCACAUUUCUUUCCUUGUCACUUCCUCCUUUUGUCAAUGUCAAUGUAUAUGUGUGUAUUUCCAAGGAUGCCAUGCCUUGCCCCAUGUCCUGUAGCAACCGGGCUGUGCCCACCCCACCCAGGCUGACCGGGUGCUCAGUGAGCACAUUCUCCACUGUGCUUCACCCCACCCCAUUGUGGAGAUCUCAGAAACAGUGGGUUCCCCAGGUGACAUUCAACCUCAGAUGUGCAUUUGUCACGCUCAGUUCUAAAUUGGCUUGUUUUGGCAACCACCUGAUGUUUCUAAAUAUGUGUUCUCCACAUGUCCUCUUGCCUGAAUCUUGAGAAAUCUACACAGGAACUGGUAGCCUAGCUACGGAGAGAAGGUUUUUUCCCCUUCCUUUUCCCUUUGAAGCUGCCUGUGGUUGCACCCAAACGCUGCAGAUGCAACCAUGGAUGUGUGCGCUGUAUCCUCAGCCAGCUCUGGGUCAAGAGCCUGCUUGGCGUUUUUAUGUUUCCCUUCUUAUGAAGGAUAAGGAAAUGUGGGGGCAAAUGGAAUCUCUGCUGGGGACAUUUUCAGCCGCCGAUGCCACCAAAAGGAAGUGAAUUUCUUUUCUGUUUAUAUCUCAGGAAAUAAUCUGUCACAUUUGAAAUCAUUUCAGAAAUAUCUACUGCUCAUAAACUUUCUGUUCCUUCAUCCCCUGAUCUGUUGAUUCUGUAACAUUAUAGAGGGAAGGAAGAAUGGAUUAAGCAGCAUAAAAUACCAUAAGUUCCUUAAAAUGAGGAUCCACAUUUUCUUGUAGAAAUGAGCUGGAAUCAAAGCCCAGCAGCUCAUUGUAAUUCAUUGGCUGUGUGACCUUAUAAAAGUUACUUAACUUCUCUGAAUCUUGGUUUUUCUUUACAUAAAAUGGAGAUAAUAAUUGUAGUCAAUUGUAAAAAUGGUCACAAUCUUCCACUCCUCCCCAAAUGCUCACCACUGGCAGUGGGCUUUGCAGUUCCUCCUAUCAAGAAGUGAUGUCCAUUUCCCAUUCCUUUUUAAUUUGCUUUGGUCAAUGGAAUGAUAGGUGCUGGUUCUGAGUCUAGGUUCUAGGAGACGCAUUGCACAUGUCUGUCUUGGAACUCUGCCCAGUUGCCAUGCGAGAAAUCUGGCCUGGCUUGCUGGAGGAUGAGAGACACGUGGAACUGAAAGGAACCAUUCCAAGGAAGGCCAUUCUAAAUCAGCCAGCCUCCAGUCAACCCAGCACUGGGUACAAAGGCAAAGGUGAACCCAGGUAAGGCUAGAAGUAUCUCCUAGCUGAGCCCAAUACAAACUGUCUACCUGCCAAAUGGUAAGCUAUAUAAGUGGUUGUUUAUUUAAAGUCACUAGUUUUGGAGUAGCUUAUUAUGCAGGAAAUGCUAAUAUAAUGUGCUUGUCUUUCAGUGCUGUUGUGUAAACAAAAUUAGGUAUCACACAUGAAACACCUGAAUCCAUACAUACCGAUGAACAGAACUUGUUUGGAUGGAUUGCUAACCCAGCUGCAUAUCCAUAAAUUGCAUACUUCCUGUGUGGAAGAUGUAAGCAUCAGUGUCCAUAGCGUAUAUUGAAAAAUAAAUGCAUUUCCCUAUGAAGAUAUAAUGACACCGUAGAUAGAAUGUUUAAAAGGAACCCAUAAAAUUUGCCUGUUAUCCUACUGCCUCUACCAUAAGGUUCAAAUAUCUUAGUAGGACUGACAAAAUCCUUCAAAGUCAUAUUCCAGCCUCAUCUGUCUUUUUAAACUGUUUCUACUCCUUGUUACCUCCAUUCAUAAUAAAUGACAUCUGAGACAUUCAUUAUGUAAAAUUUCCUUUUAGUUUUGGUCCUUCCUAUGGUUUGGCUGUAUCCCCACCUAAAAAAUCUCAUCUAGAAUUGUAUCUCUCAUAAUCCCCAUGUGUUGUGGGAGGGACCAGGUGGAAAGUAAUUAAAUCACAGGGGCAUGUUUUUCCCAUGCUGUUCUUGUGUUAAUGAGAAAGUCUCACGACAUCUGAUGGUUUUAUAAAGGGCAGUUUCUCUGCACAUGCUCUCUUGUCUGCCACCAUGUAAGACGUGCCUUUGUUUCUCCUUCCCCUUCGGCCAUGAUUGUG